rnacentral:SRP_RNA from 1 species
GCCAGACAUGGUGGCAUGUGCCUAUAGUCCCAGCUACUCAGAAGGCUGAGGUAGGGGGAUGGCUUGAGCUCAGGAGUUCUGGGCUGUAGUGCGCUAUGCCAAUUGGGUGUCUGCACUAACUUCAGCAUCAAUAUGGUGACCUCCCAGAAUCGGGUGACCACCAGGUUGCCUAAGAAGGGGUGAACUGGCCCAGGUCGAAAACGAAGCAGGCCAAAAGUCCCGUGCUAAUUAGAUCUAUUUCUAUGCAUUUCCAUAUACUUGUGCAUAUAAAUGUUUUAUAUUUUA